UACGGAGGGUGCAAGCGUUGUCCGGAAUCACUGGGCGUAAAGGGCGCGUAGGUGGUUUGAUAAGGGUGUGGUGAAAGUCCGGGGCUCAACCCCGGAUCUGCCGUGCCGACUGUCAAACUCGAGGACUGUAGAGGCAGACGGAAUUCCGGGUGUAGCGGUGGAAUGCGUAGAGAUCCGGAGGAAGACCGGUGGCGAAGGCGGUCUGCUGGGCAGUUUCUGACACUGAGGCGCGACAGCGUGGGGAGCAAACAGG
rnacentral:rRNA from 1 species